AUUGAACGCUGGCGGCAGGCCUAACACAUGCAAGUCGAGCGGCAGCACUUCGGGUGGCGAGCGGCGGACGGGUGAGUAACACGUAGGAAUCUACCUAGUAGUGGGGGAUAGCCCGGGGAAACUCGGAUUAAUACCGCAUACGCUCUACGGAGGAAAGGGGGCUUCGGCUCUCGCUAUUAGAUGAGCCUGCGUCGGAUUAGCUAGUUGGUGAGGUAAAGGCUCACCAAGGCGACGAUCCGUAACUGGUCUGAGAGGAUGAUCAGUCACACUGGAACUGAGACACGGUCCAGACUCCUACGGGAGGCAGCAGUGGGGAAUAUUGGACAAUGGGGGAAACCCUGAUCCAGCCAUGCCGCGUGUGUGAAGAAGGCCU
rnacentral:rRNA from 1 species